UUUUCAUCCCAAAAGUCGUGCCCUCCAUAGCCAAGGAGUUCCAAGCUUUCAUCUUCAAAUUUUAGCUCCGUUUCUCAACGUAUUGAAUACCCGAUCGCGCAAUCGGUGUUAAAUCAAGCUACACCCAAAUGUUAGCAAAUGAAAGGAAAAAGGAUCGGCGAAAGAAGAAAUGUCGAAUGGUAACGUCAUCCAGCAACAAAGCAGCUAAGACUGGAUAUCGACGAGGCGGUCGAUGAUAUACUGCUAGUAGGAAUUGCCCAGAAAUUCCAGGAGCGAGUAUCAGAUGCCGGGACUAGUACAGCUCCAGAAGAGACGGGGGAUAGGAAACCAAGGGGUAGGAAUGUUGACUAUCUGUAUUGUCGAUGAACCCCUACCGAGUUUCUGAAUUGUAUAAAGAGUUUAACGCCACGGCAGAAGGAAGCCCUCACGGAGUUUGUAAAUGAGUCUAACAGUGAAUGCAAUAUUUGUACAUUAUUUAGCUAUUUCUAUGCAUUAUAUAUCAUGUUUUACGCAUCAUUAGAUUGUUGUUGUACAUGCGUCUUAGAAUGAAGGCAAUAUUUGUAUGUUCAUUAUUUGAGUGAUUCUGUACAUUAUUUGGUUAUUUGAAUGCAAUAUUUAUCUUGUUUUAUGCA